UUGUAUCAUUUUUCUCUUUCUGCCCAGUCUGCCCACUUGACAGCGCUCCUCUUUCCCCAAGAAACUGAUCCUUAAUUUUGAGAGUCAUUUAUGGUACUAGCAAAUGACUCAAAAUACCAUUAUGGGCAGAGAUGUCUCAAAGGGCCAUUUUCACCCCCUGGUCUGUCAACAGGAAGCCUGGUUGCUCAGGUUGGUAUUCUGUCUCACAAUGUCUCCUGGUGGGGGUGAAGCAGUGUUUCCUUGAUCAGUGAUCAUGUUGCAAUUUGGAGCCUCAAAAACCUAGGGCCAGAUGUAUCCCAGGUAUAAACGAGGAGCUGGAGCCACGGUUGCGGAAAGGAGCUGGAGGUAUGGAAUUUCACCUGACGUCUCUGGUAACCUUUUGGAGACAGUGGCCCAAGUUCAGGCACCCAAACAGCUAUGUGCAUAUUGCAUAAACGUGUAUAGUGCUCUGAAUUUUGGACAGCUGCAAUACAGUGUGUACUGCUGCUGUAGCUUUGACAGUGUUAGCUCGAUGAAAUUACUAAUUGCGCUUGAAGUGCUGGAAAUAAUACAGCCAUAUGUGUAACUGCUGUGUGUACUUCAUAAAUGAGAUAGUGUCACCAUAAACUGUGAAAAUAAUGCAGCUGUAUAAAAUUAUAGUGACGAAUAUGCAUUGGCCUGCGGUUCUACUACAGCAAGCCAAUGCUAGUACUAAAGUGUUCUCUCAAAACUCCAGGCAUUUAAACGUGCUUUAUAGGAGGCAAUUGCUUAAUGUGCCCUUUGUUUACGUGCAGAAUGCAACGCUGGUAUUUCCUCCUCUCAGUGCUUGUAGAUGUUCUUGGAUUUUGGUGGAAAUGGGAGCGUUAGCUACUGACAUUUCUGUGACGGUGGUCGCCCUCCAAGUGAGGUGGCCUUGGCCUCAGCUGUGGAGAAAAUCACCCACCCUCACCUGUGGAUGUGGAGGAUCCUAAGGGGGGGGAAGGUGGGAAGAGGGGCAAAGCAGAGCAGUGGGGAGGACAUCUCUGCUGUGUUUCUUCCCUCUUCUACCUAAGGCCAGAGAAAGCUCUCGGUUUAGAAGGCCGUCACCAUCACAGCACAUCUGCAUGAAACUCCUCGGGGACUCUGGGCAAAGGACAAGUCAGAACAACCAAAACAAGACUCGAGCCACUAAGAGUUGACAGCAGAAAGACAAGGGGCAGGCUUACAGUCAAAAGGCACCCAAAUAAGGAGACAAAGGACUGACUCACAGAGGUGGGACAGGAUGGGGAGACAAAGACCGUGAUUGCUAUCAGCUGCUGAAGGCAGCUAUCAGCUACUGAAGGCGCAUCUCAGGCUAUCAGAUGGGCACCCCGAGGGGAGAGGCUUUGAAAGAGUGUCAACAAGAACCAACCCGCUGGUGAGGCCGCGAUGGCGCUUCAGCUGCAGACAUGACUACACAGCAUCAGCUCCAGAGAGAGAGGUUUGUCAUACUGCCAUCAGCACUUUCUUGUUAUAUGGGAUGUCUGGACAGGCACCUGUGUCACGUAAUUCAAAAGGGCCAGAACCUGCAGCUUUCAGCCAACUCAUAGACCGGAGCCCUUCAGCAAUGAAUUUUUGAGCAUGUGUUGACUACUAUAGUUGUAACUUACUCAGUAAUAGCCUUAUUCCCUAUGAGCUUUGGGCAGAUGUGACCUAAGCGUAGAGAUAUGUUGCUGUCACUUCUCCCGCAGAGGACCUGUCACUAUGAGGAUCGCUGCCACCUUAGCUGGGUUCCUGAAGUGCCUGGGGAAGAACUUCCGAAACAGGUAGUGGCACCUCUGUAGUUUAAGCAUAAGCCAAUGGUUUGGAGUCAAAGGCUUCUCUUUGUUAAAAUCCAGGAAAAUGAUGAAAGGAAACAUUUGCUUGGAAGAGAAUGAAAUAAAAGGGCUUGGAGGUCUUCAAAGUGGAUUGUGGAGAAACUUUGGGCCAGUUAAAAAAAUAAUAGAAAGAGAGACAGAGAAAUGAGUAGAUAAUUAAGCAAUGGAGGAGAAAGACAUGCAAAUAAGGUGCAAAUAGCAGUGUAGGGCUUAAAGAGAGAGAUGGAGAGCACAACCUGUGAAGAAAAACUGAAAGUGGACAAGGUGAUACAGAAUAUGGGGAGAAUACGUGAAGACACUGCAGGAAAGAGAGAAUAAGAGGAUGGGGGGGUGCUGCUUUGCAAAAGAAAAAAAAAAAAAGAGGAGAGAAAUAAGAAAAAGAAAACAUAAGAAGUGGUGAAAGCCACAAACAGAGGCUAGUGGAAAAACUGAAUGUUUGGAAGGGAAUUCAAGUGUUAGAGGGAGAGCAUGAAGAAAGUCAUGUAAUAUUAAGACUAGCAAAAUGUUUCUUAUUUAUUCAUGUUACUCCUGGAUUAUUUUUCCCUGGCAGCUGCUGCGGGUCCAAUUGCCAUGGCCUCCUCUCCCUCGGUGGAGCGCGGCCAAGCACUUCUCUUUGAGGAUGAUGAAUGGGCAAAGCAUUCUUGAGCACUUCAGCUGUACACAAGGCUCUCCAAAGCCCCCUUCUGUCUUGGGCAGCUUCCCCACAGCCUCCCUGGUGGAAACUUGGCAGCUCUGUUACAACCCACAUGUAGGCUCCCAACCUGCAAGCUGGUCCAUUACUAAUGCUGAAAUACAUGUGUUGGGAUAAAAUAUCUGAGAAUCAGGCUAACCUUCCUUGCAAAAGAGAUGUCAUCUAUUCCCUUUUCUGCGUCCUUCCUUGUCACUGGUGUGCAGGGUGUGUGCACGCUCCUCACAGACGUUUAGCAACUUAUUGAUGGGGUGGUCCAAAUCCUGUUGCAGUCGAUGGAAAUUGUUCUGCUAGUUUUGAUAGCCUUAAAAUGUUUGCCCCCGUGAGGCUCACACCCAGCUGUACCCUUUGGACUUGUCAGAGAACUUGAUUUGCUGAGCAAUUUAAUCAGUGGGAAAGUUGGGAAGUUUAGAAAGGCGAGAUAAGGCCCUUUAACCUUUUCUUUCCUCCCCUGAGCAUGGGGAAGCCUUUUCCAAGCCUAGAACAACAGUUAAAAGAAA